ACGUGAUCUGAGUUCAGACCGGAGAAAUCCAGGUCAGUUUCUAUCUAUAAAAAGCCUUUUUCAGUACGAAAGGACCAAAAAGACAUGGCCAAUAUGACCCAUAAGCCAUAUCUAGUAAUUUGUGACCCAAUCUUAACAAAAAAUUAGAUUUCCCUGCUGCUCAAGAGAAGAGCA
rnacentral:rRNA from 1 species